AUGAACUUGGCUCUUCUCACUCGAUGGCUCUGGCGCAUUGCUAAUGGCGAUGGAGGCUUGUGGUUGCAGAUCGUGCGUCGUAAAUACCUGCGUGGACAACCCCUCGCCUUUUGUGUUAGGACUGGAGGGUCCCAGUUCUGGCAGUCUGUCAUUCAGCUUCUCUCUGUCCUCCGCAUUGGGACAUCCAUCUCGAUCGGAACUAGGACAUCCACGCAAUUUUGGCUCGAUCACUGGGCUGGGGACCUCCCCUUCACUGCGAGGUUUCCAGACCUCUUCUCCAUCGCUGUUGACUCUAGGAUUUCUGUCGAGGCUGCCCUUAUUGACUUAGGGCGUCUCACGUUCUAGCGGCCCUUUGGGUCCCCGGAGGUUGCCGCUUGGCACUAUCACCUUGAUGUCGUGGCUCUUCAUGAGCUUGACCUGGCACAUCCUCACGACCGGAUGUCCUGGCGCCUAUAGCCCUCCGACCACUUCUCUACGAAGUCACUAUACCGAGCCAUUGCUCCCUCUCCUAGCCCGCCCGUUUUCGAGUAUAUUUGGACCAUUCGCCUGCCACUCAAGAUCAGAAUUUUCAUGUCGCAAUGGAUCUGUGGCCGGCUUCCCUCUGGCAUGGAGGUGAUUAAAUGCCAUGGUCCGGGUGAUGGUAUCUGCCCCCUAUGUGGGAUGGAAGAGACCUCGAAUCACAUCUUUUUCUUGUGCGUGUCCGCCCAGUUCCUCUGGGGCUGCCUCCGUGAGGCGAUUGGCGGUGUUUGGUGUAACACCAACUUCCCUGAUCUCCUCACCGAGAUUCAGGCCUCCUCCAUGUCGGGCCACCACAUUAGGUGGCUGCUCACUGGGGUGCUCGCAUGGACGCUCUAG
rnacentral:rRNA from 1 species